CUCGCGCUAUGACUGCUCGUUCGUGCAUUACGACCGCUACGUGAACCGUCGCGUCUCCUCUAAUUUUCCCGCGCCCCACAGAUUAACAGAUCAAGUUCAAUAUAUAAAUCCAGGUCAAAUUCAAUGUUAAAAGACAUAUACAUGUAUUAGUAACACACUUAGUAUCAUAAAGUUGGAUAUAAUAAUUGGAAAAAGAAAAUAUCUGAAGAAUUAUCGAAAAAGGUGCUCAAUUACGUACUCUCUCACGUUUUGCAAAAUCAUAUCAGAAGGGACGAAGAAAUUUCGAAGGAUGCAACGAUAAUUCAUUCCGUUCUCGAGAGGAUCAAGGCGAUAUGGGGGAUGGCACAAAAACCACUACCCUAACGAACCUAUUUACAUUCGAUAAUUAAACGAAUGCCCACGCAGCGAAGCGUGCACAAGCAAACUCGAAAACAAAUCUGCACCCCAAACUCGACUCGUAGCUUUGACGUCUAUCUCGACUAAUAAUGCAACUUUAAAACCCUCGCCCCCGUUUCGUUGUCUAAGAAGUUUGAAUGGACGAGUAUGACUCAGAACCCAUUGGUGGAACGUACAAAAUACAAGCUGUAUUGUCCUGACACCCCGCUCGAUUACUGUAAGCGAUGUAAGCGCGAGAAGAAUAAAAGAAAGAGAUAAAAAAAUA